ensembl:lncRNA
GUGUUUAUUUUCUACAUGGUGUUAAUGCUGUGAGGUCAUCAACGGGAGCCAUGCUUUUACUCCUCGGUUUGCUCAGAGCCUGAUGAGUAGAGGCUAAUAUAGUUGUGUAUGGCAGUCCAGACGGCAGCAUCAAGCUUGGCUUUGUAUUUGUAUCCAUUCCAUGCAGUCACUAAAAGAGAGAGAACCGGCAGAAUUGUGUCCAGAGACUUGUCUUCCAACUACACCUCACCAGAACACAACGCAGAAAGGCCUCAGGAGAGCUUCCGUCUUCAGGGGCGGUGGGACUGGAUGGCCCAGACCUGGGUGCGUCAGCAGGUUCCCCUGACAGAGGUGCCGUUGAGCUGGAAGACGGGGGCGCUCAUAGGAGUGACAUGAGGGAUGUGCUGCAGGUGGCCACUGUAGGAGAGCAGGGGCUUCCUGUUCUUUCCCUCCACUGCUGCCUGCGCACGGUCCUCGUUCCACCUCAUCAGUCCAUCCAACAGGAAUGCCUGGAAAUGCAUUGCAAUUGCUCUGGUACCUGAGAGAACAAUGCACGAUUAGGGUGGGAGAGCUGUUGCUGUUAACGUUAAGCAAACCUCUUAAAGCUACCCCUCCACUUUUUCCAAUUUCUGCCUGAAGACAUACCCAAAUCUAACUGCCUGUAGCUCUGGCCCAGAAGCAAGGACAUGCAUAUUCUUGGUACCAUUUGAAAGGAAACACUCUGAAUUUUGUGUAAAUGUGAAUUGAAUGUAGGAGAAUUGAACACCGUAGAUCUGGUAGAAGAAAAUUCAAGGAAAUAAACAUUUGUUUUCUGUUUUUAUUGUUUCUGCAUCAUCUUUCAACUGAACAAGAACAUCCAAACAUACAGAUAGGAUGCCGG